UACGUAGGGUGCGAGCGUUGUCCGGAAUUAUUGGGCGUAAAGAGCUUGUAGGCGGUUUGUCGCGUCUGCUGUGAAAAUCCGGGGCUCAACCCCGGACUUGCAGUGGGUACGGGCAGACUAGAGUGUGGUAGGGGAGACUGGAAUUCCUGGUGUAGCGGUGGAAUGCGCAGAUAUCAGGAGGAACACCGAUGGCGAAGGCAGGUCUCUGGGCCAAUACUGACACUGAGGAGCGAAAGCCAGGGGAGCAAACGGG
rnacentral:rRNA from 1 species